AUACGGAGGGUGCAAGCGUUAUUCGGAAUCACUGGGCGUAAAGGACGCGUAGGCGGGUUGGCAAGUCAGAUGUGAAAUCCUACAGCUUAACUGUAGAACUGCAUUUGAAACUGCUAACCUAGAGUAUGGGAGGGGGAGAUGGAAUUAGUGGUGUAGGGGUAAAAUCCGUAGAUAUCACUAGGAAUACCGAAAGCGAAGGCGAUCUCCUGGAACAUAACUGACGCUAAGGCGCGAAAGCGUGGGGAGCAAACAGGAUUAGAUACCCUAGUAGUCC
rnacentral:rRNA from 1 species